rnacentral:rRNA from 1 species
CUUGGUCAUUUAGAGGAAGUAAAAGUCGUAACAAGGUUUCCGUAGGUGAACCUGCGGAAGGAUCAUUAUCGAAUAUAAACUUGGGUAGACUGUUGCUGGCUUCUCUUCCAGGGGGGCAUGUGCACGUUUAUCCUCUUUAUUUUUCCACCUGUGCACCUUUUGUAGGCUUGGAUUAUCAGUGGUCCUAAUGUGUCUUUCAAAAGGCAUAGGAAUUGUUUUGGGACUGCUGUGUUUAAACGCAUGUUUAUCGGCUUUCCCUUUUAUUUUCCAAGUCUAUGUUUGCUAUAUACACUCCAGAAAUGUAAUAGAAUGCUGUACUUUAGGUCAUUCGUACCUAUAAUAAAAUCAGUACAACUUUCAGCAACGGAUCUCUUGGCUCUCGCAUCGAUGAAGAACGCAGCGAAAUGCGAUAAGUAAUGUGAAUUGCAGAAUUCAGUGAAUCAUCGAAUCUUUGAACGCACCUUGCGCUCCUUGGUAUUCCAAGGAGCAUGCCUGUUUGAGUAUCAUUAAAUUAUCAACUGUACCAAUUUGGUUGCAGAUUGGAUGUGGGAGAUUUUGCAGGCUUUUGAUUUCUUGUGAGAAAAAGGGUCGGCUCUCCUGAAAUAUAUUAGCAGUGCCUUUGUUGGUUCAUUAGGUGUGAUAAUUUAUCUACAUCUUCACAUGGUACCUUCAUUUGUAAAGGUCAUAUUGCUUCUAAUUGUCUUUGGACAAAAAAACAUAUUAAUGUAUGGAAAACUUGAUCUCAAAUCAGGCAGGACUACCCGCUGAACUUAAGCAUAUCAAUAAGCGGAGGA